GAUGGACGCUGGCUGUGUGCCUAAUACAUGCAUGUCGAACGAAGCACUUGUGCUUAGUGGCGAAUGGGUGAGUAACACGUACUUAAUCUACCUCACAGUUUGGGACAACAUUUGGAAACGAAUGCUAAUACCGAAUAUACCUUUUAACCGCAUGGUUAGUUGGUAAAAGGCCCGUUUGGGUCGCUGCGAGAUGAGAGUGCGGUACAUUAGUUAGUAGGUGAGGUAAUGGCUCACCUAGACGAUGAUGCGUAGCCGGCCUGAGAGGGUGAACGGCCACAAUGGAACUGAGACACGGUCCAUACUUCUACGGAAGGCAGCAGUAGGGAAUCUUUCACAAUGGACGAAAGUCUGAUGAAGCAAUACCGCGUGAGUGAUGAAGGUCUUCGGAUUGUAAAGCUCUGUUGUAAGGGAAGAACACCAUGGAUAGGUAAUGAUCCAUGCUUGACGGUACCUUACCAGAAAGACACGGCUAACUAUGUGCCAGC
rnacentral:rRNA from 1 species